ACCCGUAAUAACAUUUUUCCUUUUUUGGACCAAAAUAGCUUGCCUCUCUUCUUUAUCGUUUUCACUUUCACUUCAGAUUUCUUUCUCGACAUUUAUCCCCAAAGUGAACCCCAAAAAUUAGCUCCUUAAUCAAUGACAAAUUAAGCAUCCAUUCACUAUCUUCAUCUUCCUUCUAGUUGAACCUCCUUAUUUACAGUAAGUGCCUUUGAUUCCUUUUUUUUUCUCUGAUUUUUUUAGUUAAAUUUAUUUCACUUCUUUCAGCUUUUCUUUUCCCCUUUCGUAUUUGGAUAAAAAAUAGCAAAGCAAAUUGUAAAACCAGCAAAUUAAAUUAUGCCUAAAUGAAAUAUUAUGUGUAUCAAUUAGUCCUGGAAUGAUUGAGUCAAUCCUAUGUUGGAUGCAUGAAUUGAAGAAUCUUGGAUUGCCAUAAUUACCAUACAAAUCCAAAUGAUUUCAUCCUUUUUCUCUCAUUCACUAUUUAUUAGCUCAAAUUUUCCUUUUUCCUUUAACACGGUGGUUUCAUACAGUUUUUGUUUUCUUUUAAAUCCCCAUUUCUUUCAACAUAUAUAGCUGGUGAAAAUUUAUGCUUUGUGUGGCUAUGAUUAAAAAGCUUAUUCAUGCGUAUACCAACAUGCAAAGCGAAAUGCACGUUGAGGGAUAGUUGCAAGCAAGCAUUGCUUGGGUAGCCGCUAUUUCUAACCCAUUAAUUUGCUUGAUUAUGCAAUAACUAAAUGACACAACAAGACAGGGUGUUUAACUUUUUCAUACAUUUCUUAAGAAAAUGUUGGCAAGUUGGUCUUUGUUUUUAUGCUCUAUUCUUAGCACUCUUACCUGUUUAGAUUUAACCUUAAAUAUCCAAAAAUAGAUCCGUUUUGAACAACACAUAUGUAUAUAUAAUAAACAGGCGUUUGUAAUUGCAAGUUCUUUCAUGGGUGCAAACACUAAAAGAAACCACAGCAGCAAAAUAGCAUGUAAUUGGAUAGAAAAACAUUUAAAAAGUUGGUUUCGCACUUGGUUUACAGUUUUAUGUCAUGCUUCUUAACAUUUUUGUGUCAUGCUUCUUUACAUGGGGAAUUUGUAUAUAAUUUUUAAAAAUCUUAAUUUUAUGUCUGUCUUAGGAUGAAAUUUUUUAAUUUCACUUGUCCCUAUGUUUUGCUUGUUGUGUUUCCAUAUAAAAAAAAAUUUGGUUGAUAAGUCUGGCAAAAGAGGAUCGUAGACUUUGCAAGAGUCUCCAAGCUUCCAAUGUACUCUUUUUCCAAGGAUUGUUGUAGCUUACUUUAGUGCUAAAUCUUCUGUAUUUGGACUUAUAAGAGAAAAAAAGAUAAGGUUACUUUUUUGUCAUCACACCCAUUUGGGGCUUGUUUGGUUUUUAUGUGAAUGCAUUUGAUGCAUUUAUUCUAGUGUUUGAGGUGGUAUGUUUGGCAAAGAGCUCUUACCAAUUGGAGCCUUUUCAGCUUCUGUACCAUUACCAAUUGUGGUAGCUGUAUACUGUGUUCUCUUCAGCUUUGUCUCUUCUGCUGGUCUUAGCUUUCUCCAAUUCUGUAACUUGAAUAGUUUCGAAAUAAAAUUCAUAUUAGGCUUCCUUGAAAUAUCCAUGUCUGACAUUUUCCAGCACAUGCCAACCUAGGUAUAUAUAGAGAUAUGAUACUCCAAAUUGAACAAUUUGUAAUAAAUUAAUCACUCUCUGUUUAUUAGAAACUGAACAAUUUUCUUUCCUAAUGAAAUGUAAUUCAGUGACAAAGUGGUUGUGAUCUUCAUGUCUCAUACAACAGUUGUUGUUUUGGUUGUUUUAUUCUUUGAUUUAACACUUUGUCGAUAAAAUGAUGAAAGCAGAAAGGACAUUGGAUUGAACUAGUGGGAAAAGUUUUGCUUUUACAAAUCAAAUGUUAGGAAUGAUGAAUUCUAUGCACUACCCUUUAGACUUAAUAAGUUUUUCCCUCCAAUUUAACCUUUUGAAAAAUAAAUAUUUACUGUGACAAAUUAUUUGCUUUCCAAUUCCAUUUCUUAAGUUAGAUUUAUCUUCCUAAUUUUCCUUUUCAUCCUACAUCUUUAUUCAAUAAGCUAUUUUUGAGUCACCUUGGCUAAUCUAACAGCUGAUUUUACCUCAUGUUACACUCUCUCUUAUUUUUCCUUUAUCUAUCUGUGGUUCUUUUCUUACUGUCAAGUCUCAGUCCUAUUUUAAGCUUAAUGUUCUGCACUCUGUGUAGUUAAUAGAAUGUAAUGUGUUACCAUGCACAUUGCUUUUCGGGUUGAUGAUGGUUAUAUGCAUUAGUUUCAAGUUGUUUAUGCUUGUUGCAUGCAGAUGCCCUUUCUCUAUGCAAUUUUCGUUCUAUGCCAUUCACUUCAUAUUUCAAUGUUUCAUGUCUUCCAAUUAUAAUAUGGUUUAUGUUUCAUGUUUGACAAGUCUUUUCAUUUAAUCUAUUAAUAUGGUUUGCUUUUAUUUUGCAGGUAAGCUUGAUUGCUUGCUUUGAAGAUAUAGUUUUGCUUUGUAAUAUUUGUAAUUUCUGUAAGUUUAUCAUCAGGACGUGUUGCAUUCUUGUUGUAGUCUGUUUUAUAUCUAAUAAGACAUGCCCUUUCAAGGUGCGAUUCCUAGGAGCCAAACUCGAGUCACUUAUGUUCAAAUAGAAGGUUUUAGCUUCUCAUGUAUAAGCUAUUGGUAUAUGCAAGAAAUUGUUUGCUC
rnacentral:lncRNA from 1 species